rnacentral:tRNA from 1 species
GGGAGCAUAGCUCAGUUGGGAGAGCACCUGCCUUACAAGCAGGGGGUCAGCGGUUCAAGCCCGUUUGCUCCCACCA